GGCUCAGUAGUUCAGUAGAGUAGAACGCCGCCCUGUCACGGCGGAGGUCGAGGGUUCAAGUCCCUUCUGAGUCGCCA
rnacentral:tRNA from 1 species